rnacentral:tRNA from 1 species
UAAUGUUUAGCUUAAACAAUAUCUAAAGCAUUCCACUUACACUGGAAAGUACAUGUAAAAUCUUGAACAUUAA